CUAAAAUCUAUCCGAGGCCCGUGGCCUUCGGAGGGCGGGUGCGGAUGCUUCUGGACUGGGACCGGUGUUUGGAGCCCCCGGGGCCGGGGCCGCAUGCGGGGCUGCGUGCGGGGCCGCCUGGUCCCUCAGCCCCUGAGCCCUCCGCGCUGUUCUCGGUCCUCUGGAGCGGAAAUAGUGAGGGCGCGUCCACAUCCUGUUGCUUAUCCCCUUCGUCUGAAGAGAUCAGUCCCUACCUGCAAAGCUGGGGAACACUCUGUUCAUGUUGCCCGAGUUACCUCAUUACCUCUUCAGUAAAGUGUGUUCUUUUGGC